CCUACGGGCGGCAGCAGUGGGGAAUAUUGCACAAUGGGGGAAACCCUGAUGCAGCGACGCCGCGUGAGUGAAGAAGUAAUUCGUUACGUAAAGCUCUAUCAGCAGGGAAGAAACACUGACCUUACGGUCAGCAGACGGUACCUGAGUAAGAAGCCCCGGCUAACUACGUGACAGCAGCCGCGGUAAUACGUAGGGGGCAAGCGUUAUCCGGAUUUACUGGGUGUAAAGGGGGCGUAGACGGUGCGCCAAGUCUGGAGUGAAAUGCCGCAGCUUAACUGCGGAACUGCUUUUGAAACUGGCGAACUAGAGUGAGGGAGGGGUAAGCGGAAUUCCUAGUGUAGCGGUGAAAUGCGUAGAUAUUAGGAGCAACACCGGUGGCGAAGGCGGCUUACUGGACCGUAACUGACGUUGAGGCUCGAAAGCGUGGGGAGCAAACAGGAUUAGAUACCCCUGUAGUC
rnacentral:rRNA from 1 species